rnacentral:misc_RNA from 1 species
GUCGAGCGGAUGAAGGUAGCUUGCUACCGGAUUCAGCGGCGGACGGGUGAGUAAUGCUUAGGAAUCUGCCUAUUAGUGGGGGACAACGUUCCGAAAGGAGCGCUAAUACCGCAUACGUCCUACGGGAGAAAGCNGGGGACCUUUGGGCCUUGCNNUAAUAGAUGAGCCUAAGUCGGAUUAGCUAGUUGGUAGGGUAAAGGCCUACCAAGGCGACGAUCUGUAGCGGGUCUGAGAGGAUGAUCCGCCACACUGGGACUGAGACACGGCCCAGACUCCUACGGGAGGCAGCANUGGGGAAUAUUGGACAAUGGGGGGAACCCUGAUCCAGCCAUGCCGCGUGUGUGAAGAAGGCCUUUUGGUUGUAAAGCACUUUAAGCGAGGAGGAGGCUACCUAGAUUAAUACUUUAGGAUAGUGGACGUUACUCGCAGAAUAAGCACCGGCUAACUCUGUGCCAGCAGCCGCGGUAAUACAGAGGGUGCGAGCGUUAAUCGGAUUUACUGGGCGUAAAGCGUGCGUAGGCGGCCAAUUAAGUCAAAUGUGAAAUCCCCGAGCUUAACUUGGGAAUUGCAUUCGAUACUGGUUGGCUAGAGUAUGGGAGAGGAUGGUAGAAUUCCAGGUGUAGCGGUGAAAUGCGUAGAGAUCUGGAGGAAUACCGAUGGCGAAGGCAGCCAUCUGGCCUAAUACUGACGCUGAGGUACGAAAGCAUGGGGAGCAAACAGGAUUAGAUACCCUGGUAGUCCAUGCCGUAAACGAUGUCUACUAGCCGUUGGGGCCCUUGAGGCUUUAGUGGCGCAGCUAACGCGAUAAGUAGACCGCCUGGGGAGUACGGUCGCAAGACUAAAACUCAAAUGAAUUGACGGGGGCCCGCACAAGCGGUGGAGCAUGUGGUUUAAUUCGAUGCAACGCGAAGAACCUUACCUGGCCUUGACAUACA